UACGAAGGGGGGCUAGCGUUGCUCGGAAUCACUGGGCGUAAAGGGUGCGUAGGCGGGUCUUUAAGUCAGGGGUGAAAUCCUGGAGCUCAACUCCAGAACUGCCUUUGAUACUGAAGAUCUUGAGUUCGGGAGAGGUGAGUGGAACUGCGAGUGUAGAGGUGAAAUUCGUAGAUAUUCGCAAGAACACCAGUGGCGAAGGCGGCUCACUGGACCGGAACUGACGCUGAGGCGCGAAAGCGUGGGGAGCAAACGGGG
rnacentral:rRNA from 1 species